rnacentral:rRNA from 1 species
UACUCGAGUGGCGAACGGGUGAGUAACACGUGGGUGAUCUGCCCUGCACUUCGGGAUAAGCUUGGGAAACUGGGUCUAAUACCGGAUAGGACCGCACUUUAGUGUGUGUGGUGGAAAGUUUUUUCGGUGUAGGAUGAGCUCGCGGCCUAUCAGCUUGUUGGCGGGGUAAUGGCCUACCAAGGCGGCGACGGGUAGCCGGCCUGAGAGGGUGUACGGCCACAUUGGGACUGAGAUACGGCCCAG